GUGGGGAAUCUUGCGCAAUGGGCGAAAGCCUGACGCAGCGACGCCGCGUGAGGGAAGAAGGCUUUCGGGUUGUAAACCUCUUUCAGGAGGGACGAAGCUACUCGGGUGAAUAGCCCAGAGGGUGACGGUACCUCCAGAAGAAGCCCCGGCUAACUACGUGCCAGCAGCCGCGGUAAUACGUAGGGGGCAAGCGUUGUCCGGAUUUAUUGGGCGUAAAGAGCGUGUAGGCGGCCUGGUAGGUCAGCUGUGAAAACUCGAGGCUCAACCUCGAGACGCCGGUUGAAACCAUCAGGCUAGAGUCCGGAAGAGGAGAGUGGAAUUCCAGGUGUAGCGGUGAAAUGCGCAGAUAUCUGGAAGAACACCCGUGGCUAAGGCGGCUCUCUAGUACGGUACUGACGCUGAGACGCGAAAGCGUGGGGAGCGAACAGGAUUAGAAACCCUGGUAGUCC
rnacentral:rRNA from 1 species